GCUGGGCAUGGUGGCACAUGCCUGUAAUCCCAGCUACUCAGGAAGCUGAGGCAGGAGAAUCGCUUGAACCCAGGAGCUGGAGAUUGCAGUGAACCAGGACUGCACCACCGCACUCCAGCCUGGGCGACAGAGUGAGACUCUGUCUCAA
rfam:Homo sapiens chromosome 19, GRCh38 reference primary assembly.